rnacentral:rRNA from 1 species
GUAGCGGAGCGUUCUGUAAGCCUGCGAAGGCGGACCCGCGAGGGCUGCUGGAGGUAUCAGAAGUGAGAAUUCUGACAUGAGUAGCGACAAACAGUGUGAGAAACACUGUCGCCGAAAUUCCAAGGGUUCCUGCGCAAGGCUAAUCCACGCAGGGUGAGUCGGAUCCUAAGGCGAGGCCGAAAGGCGUAGUCGAUGGCAAUACGGUUAAUAUUCCGUAACCUGUGAGUAGUGACGGUGGCCGAAAUCUGUUCUUUCUUAUCGGAUUGAUAAGGGCAGGCUAGGACAUCCAGGAAAUAGCUCUCACAUAUAGUCCGUACCCGAAACCGACACAGGUGGAAUGGUAGAGUAUACCAAGGCGCUUGGGAUAACUG